AAUAGUUUGAAACGUUUAACCCAAAAAAUAUUAACAAUCUAUAAUGAAUGCGGCAGUGAGCAUCAUCUUCCUGUCCGCCCGCACCUCCCAUGCCUCCCACUUUUGUCAGUCCUCACACUGGCUUCCAGUAAGAUAUAGGGCUCAAUUUUGAAUUCUGGCGCUUGCUUACAUAACACUGAUCCGACCUAUCUAUCCUCGCUGAUACACAAGUCCAUGUUCUGCUGAAGAUCUGCUUCUAUUACCUGUUCCUGCUCGCACCUCUAUAGCCUGCCUUCAGGACUUCUCUAGGGCUGCACUGUUCCUGUGGAACUUCCUUCCCUGCUCCGUUAGACUCUUACCCAGUUUCUAAUCCUUUAAAAGAUCAUUAAAAACCUCACUUCUUUAAGAAAGCAUAUCAAGUAAACUGUUAAUAGCUUUCCCUCUCUGCACCUUGGUUAUCCACCUUGCAUCCUCUCCUGAAACGGUCAUCCAAAAAAGUAACCCUUAACCGUUCUAGCAACCAACAUUUUCCCAUACAUGGAAUACAUCCUUUGCCUUACCUCUUGUGCCAAGUUCCCCCAAUACUUCUAGAACUAGACUGAGUUAUAAUAAUACAAUAAGUUGAAAUAACACAAUUAUAUGUAAUAAUACAAUGAACUGGAAUAGUGCAAAGAGCUGCAAUAAUACAGUAAGCUAUAAUGGUACAAUAAGCUGUAAUUAUACAAUUAGCUGUAUUAAUACAGUAAG